CAACAACGAAAGGAGGUGAUCAAGUGUCUCAUUGUCAUACCCUGCGGUCCCCGGUUGCUGCGACCUUGAUCUUGGCCUCUGCCGAGGUUCGUGCGUAACGCACAAAAGGGGCGGUCCAAUCGGACCGCGGACCCGACAAUGGAAAGGCCGCCCUUCGGGGCGGCCUU
rnacentral:sRNA from 1 species